rnacentral:rRNA from 1 species
UGGGACAAGCCCUGGAAACGGGGUCUCUUACCGGAUACUGACCCGCUUGGGCAUCCAAGCGGUUCGAAAGCUCCGGCGGUGCAGGAUGAGCCCGCGGCCUAUCAGCUUGUUGGUGAGGUAAUGGCUCACCAAGGCGACGACGGGUAGCCGGCCUGAUAGGGCGACCGGCCACACUGGGACUGAGACACGGCCCAGACUCCUACGGGAGGCAGCAGUGGGGAAUAUUGCACAAUGGGCGAAAGCCUGAUGCAGCGACGCCGCGUGAGGGAUGACGGCCUUCGGGUUGUAAACCUCUUUCAGCAGGGAAGAAGCGAAAGUGACGGUACCUGCAGAAGAAGCGCCGGUUAACUAC